CUCAGCGAGGUGAGAUCAGUUGCCCAAGGUCACACAGCUUGUAGGGGGGGAGAGGCCCAAGCCAGGCUGUCCAACCCGUGCUCAAGCCGUUGGGAUCUCCAGUCGUGGGCCUGCCGCCCCGCUACUCUUCCCUGGUCUCCGUGGCCUUUGGGCGCCUGAAGGCCGCGUGGCCGCGGAGACAGGUGGCACUGCCAGGGCUGAGCCCGCGGGGUGGAAAGGGUUAACAGCUCCGCCGCAUUGGGCCGGCCUCCGGGUGAACCAGCCAAUAGGCGCGCGCUGCGAUGAGACUCUUGGAUCACAUGGGCCUGUGGCUUUCCCAUCAGUCCUGCUAUCUACCAUUCGCCCUCCCACCCACAGGACGAGAAAACCAAGGCUCAGAGAAAUUGAUAACUGGCUCAGCACUUGUCAGCAGGAAGGUGGGUGGAACUGGGGUUCCAGUUCUCAGGCCUGCUCUCUCCUCGAGAGUUCAGUUCCUUCUGCCACUAUCCUCCAAGUAAAGAAACGCAAGUACCAAAUGCAUCCCCUGCAAGGCACCCCAGUCUCCCACCCCCAAACCCACACAUGACCCUGGCCUGAUAGGGCAUCUCUGUGGAGCACAAAGGGGGGUCACCGGGCAGAGAAAGAGCCCCACAGGCGAGGAGCCGGCUCCGCGGGCGCUUUUCUCCCCGCUUUCUUCCUCUCUCAGCUCUUUGUUAAGCUCCCUUUCAGCUGAGCCGGCAGAGCCUGGGUGUUCGGCUGACAAUAAUUGCUGCGUCUAGACAGUGUCUGGUAUGAGGCCUCCCUCUCCCCGCUCUUAGGCCUCCCCAGGCUCCCUUUCCCAGCCCUGCGGCCCUGACCCACGCCCUCUGUUUCCCACACCCCUUCCCCUCUCUGGCUGCCCAUCCCGGUCCAGCUUUCCUCCUGCUCAGACCCUCUUCCUCUUCCCCUCCCAUC